rnacentral:rRNA from 1 species
AUUGAACGCUGGCGGCAGGCCUAACACAUGCAAGUCGAGCGGAUGAAGGGAGCUUGCUCCUGGAUUCAGCGGCGGACGGGUGAGUAAUGCCUAGGAAUCUGCCUGGUAGUGGGGGAUAACGUCCGGAAACGGGCGCUAAUACCGCAUACGUCCUGAGGGAGAAAGUGGGGGGUCUUCGGACCUCACGCUAUCAGAUGAGCCUAGGUCGGAUUAGCUAGUUGGUGGGGUAAAGGCCUACCAAGGCGACGAUCCGUAACUGGUCUGAGAGGAUGAUCAGUCACACUGGAACUGAGACACGGUCCAGACUCCUACGGGAGGCAGCAGUGGGGAAUAUUGGACAAUGGGCGAAAGUCUGAUCCAGCCAUGCCGCGUGUGUGAAGAAGGUCUUCGGAUUGUAAAGCACUUUAAGUUGGGAGGAAGGGCAGUAAGUUAAUACCUUGCUGUUUUGACGUUACCAACAGAAUAAGCACCGGCUAACUUCGUG